CGUGAGUGAUGAAGGCUUUCGGGUCGUAAAGCUCAGUCAAGUGGGAAGAACCUGCUCGAUGCUAAUACCAUCUAGCACUGACGGUACCACUAAAGGAAGCACCGGCUAACUCCGUGCCAGCAGCCGCGGUAAUACGGGGGGUGCAAGCGUUAUUCGGAAUUAUUGGGCGUAAAGGGCGCGUAGGCGGUCUCUAAAGUCAGAUGUGAAAGCUCGGGGCUUAACCCUGGAAGUGCAUUUGAAACUCAGGGACUUGAGUAUGGGAGAGGGAAGUGGAAUUCCUGGUGUAGCGGUGAAAUGCGUAGAUAUCAGGAGGAACACCAGUGGCGAAGGCGACUUCCUGGACCAAUACUGACGCUGAGGCGCGAAGGCGUGGGGAGCAAACAGGAUUAGAUACCCUGGUAGUCCACGCAGUAAACGGUGAACACUAGGUGUAGCGGGUAUUG
rnacentral:rRNA from 1 species